AUGGAGCACAUAUAAAGUCUUUAAAGUUUAAAUAAGAGUACAUUGUGUUUGUAAUUAUAAUUACUUGUGUCGAAAGUAAGAAAUGAAGUGAACAAGGCCAUAUAUAUUUGUUGAAAGUUUGUUGCAGUGGAUAUCUCCCAUUUGUUUUUCAUUCUUCACACUGUGUAUCUUUGAACAUUUAAUCGUCAACUAAUUACAGGCAAUGAUAUAUUUACUAGCUCAUUACUCCAUAUAUAUUACCAGGUACAUAACAUGCAAUACAUCAACCUUGCAAUCCAUGCUUUAACGCCUGCAGUUACUCCCUAGGUACUGUAAUUUCUAUAUUUAGCCCACACCUCUCUUUUAAGUGGAGGGGGUACUGUAAUUUCUAUAUUUAGCCCACCCCUCUCUUUUAAGUCCCUCUCCAAUCCCCCCUCCCUCUUGGAUACAAAAAUAAAAAAUAAAUAAGCCCACACCCUCUUUCAGCCAUGCAGCCCCCAUUCGAUUAAUUCUUAAAAUCAUGAAUUAUAUUGCAUUUCUGCAGUAUUUUAAUAAAAUAUAGUACAACGGUAACUCUGAAUAUGGACAUUUUUUAAUGGUAACCAG